CUGAAUCCAGUCCUUAUUGACAGUUAAAUGCCAUUCUUGCUGAAGUAGAUUGCUAGUUCAAUUUCAGAUGGGAAAUGGUAACCUCAACUCAUUUUUGGGGGUUGAAGUGCACAGCACACAAAUUACCACAUGGUUAAAUCAAAUGAACGAUUUUAUUCUGAGUCCAGAAAGUUAGCUUGUACUGGGGCCACAUGCACAAGAGGAAGCACAGUUUUUUUUAAGUUUGAGGGCAGUUUGAUUAAGAAAUCAUUACUGCUUACAUGGGCAUGCUGUAUCUGGCUAGGCUAUGCUCAGUUACAACAAUGACUAGAAACAGUGAGGGAGAAAAUGUUCAGUACUAUGUGACACUUAGCAUCCAAUACCUUCAGAGGAUGGAAAAAUGCAAUCAGAAAAAGAUAAUAUCUUUUAAACCCUGAGGCUUUCACAAUUACCCAGAAGCGAUGAUAAUGUGUAAAUAGAAAGGAAUUCUUUGUUCUUAUCAUUCAUGUUGUGGAAUUUGCAUGACUUAGUUUCACAUUAUUCAGUUGUUUAAAAUGUAGGUGAACAUUUCACAACAUUGUUGUUUACGAUUUUUGGCACACAAAACUGACGAAGGCACACAAUAUCUGGAAAAUACUUCUGGACAUAUAAUGCUGCUUUGAAUAGCGUAAGUGCAACUGAUGUACCUUUUUGUUUUAAAUCAGGUUGUUCGGGCAACAAGUACCACAGUGCCAACGUAUGUUGUUAGACCAUCACCAGCAAGGCCGCCACCACCAUGCCCAGCACCUUCAAGGCCUGUCCCAACAACCCAAAGGGUAUAGAUGUUGAUACACAUGAUACUCUACAGGAGUUUGUGCAGACAAUUAAAUUAUGUAUGCUCAUUUACAAUAUUGCCUCCGCACAACUAGAGUGUCAACCACCUUUGCUGAUUCAUCCAUGUUAAAGUUAAUGCUUCUGUAUUUUACAUGUUUCAUUUUUCUCAAGAAAACCAUAUCUGCCAUUUCCAAUCUUUGAAGGAAUUUACAACUGAAUACCUCUUACGUUUUUAAUUUUUUUUCUGAAAUAUUUGAAAUGUUUGAUUUGGUUAGAGAAAUUCUGUUGUUUAAACAUGCUGGAAGUUUGCCCAGUUACUCUCUUUGGAUACUUGCUGUGCAAUAGCAUGGAGGGGGAUGAAACUAUCACUACUGACAAGUAAUUAUUUUUACUGUUUUGAGAACUACACUCCCUCAAAAUCAACAUGUUCUGUCACUCCUACCUUUGCUUGUUUAAAUAACCUGCUUCUGAUGUUUUCUGCAGAAGAUGACAGUGCUUCAUAUUGUUGGAUGACAUUGGGCAACCAGCAGAGAAACAUGAGUUCAUCGAUCAGAGGCCCUUAUUAUACCUGCAGCAGAGUAGAUUAACAUUAUUUGACUUUUCAAUUUAUUUAGCACUUAAUUUAUAAUCAUCCGUCUCAGCUCUUGAUUUAAUUGUGUCUCAAUUUUAAAUUGAGUUUGAAAUAUCAACAGUUUAAAAACAAGAUUCUGUUUAUUUUAUAUUUUGUUUCUACGCCUGAAUGCAACUUCUGACACUCUACAACCAAGAUGGAAGGGAGGCAAUCUCUGCUCAUGCUGCAUUGUGAUAAGCAGCAAGAAGGCUGUGACAGUUGGUCUGAAUUGGUUUUUGACUUGAGUGUCUUUUUUAAGAGAACCUUAGUCCCUGGGUGCUCAUCAUGCAGUGAAUUUCAGAUGUGAAGUUGAAUCUGACCACCAUGUGGUACAACAUUGCCGUGUAUGUUAAACUGGCUGCUGUAAAGUUACUCCUUGGUACCACUGACAAUUCAUUAUUGUCAUUGUUUGCUUUUGUACUUCAGGAAACCACACACUUCAGCUGCUGUGUUGAAUGUUCAUUUCAAUACCCUUUUUUAAGUGAAAUUUUAAUGGAAAUCUCAUGCAGCAAAGUGUACAUAACUUCCAUCUGGUGCUGGAAGGCUUCGCUCCAUGUCUUGACAAGCUCUUGUAUAUUGUGGUGAAUACUAUCUGGUAGACAUAACAGCGGAAUUUAGUCAAACAUAGCUGCAAAGACAUUGGCAACCAAAAUAUUUUUCUAACCAAAAAAAAUGAUGGGGACAGACUUGGAUAAAUCUUAUUCAUUUCCCGCAGAGACACUGUAUGUACCCUGGACAAAUGGCACAUGAGAUGUUUAAUGGAACUUAAUUUUACAAUGUGGUAGAUGUGAUUUACUAUGCUAUGAUAUUUUGCAGAAUUUUUAAUUGGCAUUUCUGAUUCAAGCUCUGUUGAUUUAUAUCUAAUCUAUUCUCUGAAGCAAAUAACCUUGUAGUCUCCAACAAAAAACAGGUUUAUAUUCUUAGACUUGGGAUGCUGUUAUGUAUAGGGUUAUUGUUCAAAUUCCCAUAGGAAUGCAUUGUCUUUCAUGAAAUUAUGUUUGGAUAAUGGUUCAUUACAACACUGAUCUAUGUAACACCCUCUUUUUUUAACCAUGCUUUUUAAAAUAGUCAAGUUCACCUCCUAAAAUAUUCCUAAACGUGAAGCAUAGCCAGUCAUGCAUCUAAAUGUAUGAUUCUGAAGUUAUGGACUGGAAUUUAACUCUAAAUGGGUAUCUUUGAAUGAGUUUGAAUCUCUCUCUGUUCUUUGAUUUGAGAGUUGCCUAUAGACUCCUAGAUUAAAUAUGGGUGUUAUGUUUGAUGCAGCCAGACUUUGUAACUUUGUGGUUUCAAUGUGCUCUGGACAUGAGCUCAUGACUUUUCAUUUAAAUAUCCAAGUGACAGAUGAACACCAUUCAAGCAUUUUCUUUCCACUGAUAAAACUAAUUUUACACAUUUAGAAUUGGUGUUCAUUGAAAUUUUUCCGUUUCUGGAUGGAGGAAUGCAAUAUCAAGAUUGCGGUCUGCACAAAUACAUCAGAUUGAAAUACCCUCAGAGCCCUUUGUCUUUUUCUUUUGUGGCACGGACAGAAUAUUGCACCUUACUGUGAGCCAGGCAGUAAUACUGGUGACCUUUUGUGCAUAAAGUAAAAUGCUAUGAGUCAGGACCUGUUUGGUGUUCUUUUAGGUGGAUUACCUGUUUAUACAUUUCAGACUAAAACAGCAUCUGUGCUAUGUAACUUAAUCGAGAAGUGAAUUCCAAGUUGAAACCCCACAUGGGAUUUGAGAGAACCUUGAUGAAACUACUAAAGCUUUGUUGGUGGGCCUUCUUAAAUUCACCAAAACGAAAUAGAUUUGAGGUUAUAAUUCAGUCCCAGGUAUCUAUCAAUCUAAAUUUAAAAAAUCUCUUCACUUCACUUGAAUAUUUGCACUCGUUUAAAAGUGUUUUACUUUUUUCAAAAGUAAUGAUUUUUCUUAUGAGAUGUAAAGAUAUUAUGCACCUGUGGAUUACAAAGGGCUUUUAUUUAAUCUGUAUAAAGAGCAAUAGUGAAAUAAAAAUGAUUCUUUUUCUAA